rnacentral:rRNA from 1 species
CCAAUAGCGUAUAUUAAAGUUGUUGCAGUUAAAAAGCUCGUAGUUGAAUUUCGGGGUUAGUAGGUUGGUCAUGCCUCUGGUAUGUACUGGUCUCACUGAUUCCUCCUUCCUUAUGAACCGUAAUGCCAUUAAUUUGGUGUUGCGGGAAAUUUGGACUGUUACUUUGAAAAAAUUAGAGUGUUUAAAGCAAGCUAACGCUU